rnacentral:misc_RNA from 1 species
GAUGAAGAACGCAGCGAAAUGCGAUACUUGGUGUGAAUUGCAGAAUCCCGUGAACCAUCGAGUCUUUGAACGCAAGUUGCGCCCGAAGCCAUUAGGCCGAGGGCACGCCUGCCUGGGCGUCACACGUCGUUGCCCCCCCCAUCUACUCCUUCGGGAUUGCGGGGGGCGGAUGAUGGCCUCCCGUGCGCCUCGCCGCGCGGUUGGCAUAAAUGCCAAGUCCUCGGCGACGCACGCCACGACAAUCGGUGGUUGCGAAACCUCGGUUGCCCGUCGUGUGCGGUCGUCGCGCAUCGAGGGCUCGAAAAAAUUGCCGAGUUCCGGCUCGGCUUUCAACGCGACCCCAGGUCAGGCGGGGUUACCCGCUGAAUUUAAGCAUAUCAAAAGCGGAGA